rnacentral:rRNA from 1 species
GUAGUCAUAUGCUUGUCUCAAAGAUUAAGCCAUGCAUGUCUAAGUGUAAGCACUUUGCACCGUGAAACUGCGAAUGGCUCAUUAUAUCAGUUAUAAUUUAUUUGAUAGUGCCAAAUUACUACUUGGAUAACCGUGGUAAUUCUAGAGCUAAUACAUGCUAAAAAUCCCGACUCUCGCGGAAGGGAUGUAUUUAUUAGAUACAAAACCAAUAGCCCCUCGGGGUUUUCUUGGUGAUUCAUAAUAACUGCUCGAAUCGCAUGGCCUUGUGCUGGCGAUGGUUCAUUCAAAUUUCUGCCCUAUCAACUGUCGAUGGUAGAGUAGUGGUCUACCAUGGUUGCAACGGGUAACGGGGAAU